rnacentral:lncRNA from 1 species
AAAAAACCCACUCAUUUAUUACUUACUAUUUGCCAGGCACUGUCUCAAGUGUUCAACAAAUAUUAACUCAUUCUUUUUAAAAAAAUUUUUAAUGUUCAUUUAUUAUUGAGAGAGAGAGACAGAGAGAAUAUGAGCAGGAGAGGGGCAGAACGAGAGGGAAACACAGAAUCUGAAGCAGGCUCCAGGCCCUGAGCUGUCAGCACUGAGCCCAAUCUUGUGAACCACAAGAUCAUGAACUGAGCCGAAGUCGGAUGCUUGACCAACUAACUGAGCCACCCAGGUGCCCUUAACUCAUUUAUUCUUAUAACUGGUUGAAGAAAGGUACAGGGAAUGACUCCGCAUUUACAAAUUUUACUAAAAGCACAGAAAGGCAGAGUAAUUGGCUCAAGGACACACAGCUGUUUGGCAGUAGAGCCAAGGUUUGAACUCAGGCAGUGCGGUAUGUGGAGUCCACACUCCAGACCACCAUAUGACGCUGCAUCUCACGCUAAGAUAGCCAGUAAUCAAAGGCGUCAACCUAGGUACUUAUGACCUAACAAAGUGAGGGCAUUACAACAUGUGACUCCUCCCCCCGCCUCCCACCUCACCUCACUAAGUAGCUUCAGAGAUAACCCACUGGAGACUGAUACUCACCUCCCAUCUGUCUUUUAUCCUUGCCGGGGUCAGCAGGGUUGUUACAUGGCCUAGGAUGUGCUGGGGCUCAUGGAUCAAGAAAGAGUUCCUGAGGGGCAUUGAGCAAGUGUCCUGGAACACUGGUCAGUACUCCCGUCUCCGAUGUCACGGUCUUAUUCAUGGCUGGCCCUCAGCCACACAGCCUAGUCAUUUGUCGUUGACCGGAACUCCUUUACAAGCUUCUCUCAUAAGAAAUGAACAGCCGUGUGUGCUGCUCGGAGCUCUGCACACUGGGAGGACAUCCCUUCACCACUGUCCUUCAGAACCAUCUCUGAGUGAGGCAUCUCUGAGAACAGCAGAAGUCCACCGUCUGCCAGCACGCACAAUUAAUGCCAGCUCGUUGGUGAAUCUGGCUGAAGUUCUUGCCUUUUCCUCCAUUUGGCCAAACUGGGUUCCCAAGAGCCCAUGGGUAUGA